UACGUAGGGUGCAAGCGUUGUCCGGAAUUAUUGGGCGUAAAGAGCUCGUAGGCGGUUCGUCGCGUCGGCUGUGAAACCCUGAGGCUCAACCUCAGGCCUGCAGUCGAUACGGGCGGACUUGAGUUCGGCAGGGGAGACUGGAAUUCCUGGUGUAGCGGUGAAAUGCGCAGAUAUCAGGAGGAACACCGGUGGCGAAGGCGGGUCUCUGGGCCGAAACUGACGCUGAGGAGCGAAAGCGUGGGGAGCGAACAGG
rnacentral:rRNA from 1 species